UACGUAGGGUGCGAGCGUUAAUCGGAAUUACUGGGCGUAAAGCGUGCGUAGGCGGUCCGCGAAGUCUGAUGUGAAAGCCCCGGGCUCAACCUGGGAACUGCAUUGGAAACUAACGGGCUCGAGUGUGGCAGAGGGGGGUGGAAUUCCACGUGUAGCAGUGAAAUGCGUAGAGAUGUGGAGGAACACCGAGGGCGAAGGCAGCCCCCUGGGCUAACACUGACGCUCAGGCACGAAAGCGUGGGGAGCAAACAGG
rnacentral:rRNA from 1 species